UGGCACAGACCAUGCGGCACAGGCGGAAGGCGGGGACACGGCACAGACCGUGGGGCACAGGCGGACGGAGGGCCAGGAGAAGGGGCUGUGCUGCCAGCAGGCAGUGCUUUGAGCUCUAAUGGAUGAACAUUGCUAACCAGCGAAGGUGGAGAGAGGGCACCCGUCUGAGAAGAUGAAGAGGCAGCAAAGCACAGCUGGCCUCGGGGAACCGGAAGCCACAGGGACAUCAGGCUGUGUGCUGCUGUCUGUCGGCCACCAGCUGGGGGACUAUCCUGGACCUGGAAGGGCAUCCCUGACACUCCCCACCAGAUGCCAGGGGCACCCCCAGCCCCAGUAUAGAUCUGGACUCCAUCCUUUGCAAUGUGUGGGGUUCUAGGAAGAGGCCAGCCAGCCGUGGAAGUGUCCUGGGCUCUGUCCCGGAGACGACGAACUUGGCUCCCCACGAGGGCGGCCUAUUCCCCACAGUGUCCCCCGGGGGCCACACCUGCACCCACCUUGCUGAAGAUAAUUCGCUUUCUCAUCCGUGAAAGAAUAAAGUCGGAUUAACUCAUCUCCACACUCACUUCCAACUCUAACAACCUGUGUUAGGAAAUCAAAGGUAAGGACUCUGACCACAAACCCAAGAAGCAAAACCCGAGACUCACGGAACGACGCCACCAUUGCAGUUCCCAGCUUGACUAGUUGUUUUUCUUUUCUGGUCUGUUCUGCUCUUUUGGUUUAAAUAAUUAAAGAUCCUUGUUGACAAGUAAAAAAAAUUCUUUAUGAAGCUAAAAAAAGUGGUUCUAAUUAAACAUUUAAACAUUCUUCCAUAUACUUUUAAAAACAGUUGUAAUUAUAGCUCUACUUAAUGUUAAGUACUUUAACCAAAUGAAAGGUUAAUUAUACAGACUGGCAAUUAUAAAAAAUAAGGUAACAUAUUCAUGGCAUUAUGAAUAAUUAAUAAGAACUCUUCGAUUUCAUUUAGACCAGGGAUUCUGUGCUAAUAUGCUCUCAGCUGUCUUGAAAUAAUGGUGAAAUUUUAAAAUUAGUUUUGUACUUAAACAUGUCCCCAAAGUGAAGCACAGCGGCCAACGUCCGUCACGGUGCCGAGCAGUGCCAGCCGCUCUACCAUGGCCGACGGCCUGAUUCCCAAGGGCUGCGUCCCGGGGCCGUGCUAGUGCAGUGAAUGUUCAGGAAACAGACCAGGUGGCAGGAGGGAGUCUUGUCCUCAAGGAACCUCAUAAGUCUUGCUAGGGGGACAAACAACGAGAGAAUGAAACUGGCAGCCAUAGAAUCCGGGCCUUGAUGCCCAGGCCUCGCCAUGCAUACCUGCUGGCCGGCAUCUCCCUGAGACCCGUCUGGCACAGGCAACGGCAGGGCCCGGCCCUUGGAGCACAGGGAUGGCAGAGCAGGGUCAUCGAAGCAGGUGGCGUGCAGACAGUGGCUUCUCCGCAAGAGCUCCUGGCUCUCAGGGAGCUGAGGGCUCCUCAAUGGGGAAUUCUGGCUGAGCUCCAGGGGAAAGCGGGUUGGAGGCCUGGCUCCUCCGCCCCCAUCUCCUCUGCCCCAACCCUGGAAGGGGGUCAGAUAUCAAUGCUAACAUUUGUGCUGACUCAAUUAAUUCAAACGAUUCACAAAAACAAACUUGCUUAAAGUAUUAAUUUCCUAAAAAGAACUAAAAUGAGUUCAAAUAAUUCACAUAAUUAAAUUAUUUUAAUUGUUAAUUUAAUUAAAACAUCUCAGUUUUCAAAGCAC
rnacentral:lncRNA from 1 species